rnacentral:lncRNA from 1 species
CUUGUGCCCAUUAGAGAGGAAAGAGCGAUGUUUGUGGAGCAUAUGUUUCACUUUAAAAAAUACUAGCUCUCAGCAGUCUUGUUGACAUAAUCCAAACUAAUAAGCAAAUGGGCUUCAGGGCAGCAGUUGUACCCAGCAAACCUGCUCCCCAGGAAGUGCAUUAGAAAUCGGAAGGGGCAUGUCAGACAAAAUGGGAAACAGCCACUGUUUGUGAUAAUGUAAUUUUCUUUUCUGUACAAAUUCAAAUUGUUUUCAAACAUACUUACCUCUUCUUAUUAUCAAAUAACAACAAUUUACUCUGGAGCACAGGAGUUUCCUUGAGAAGAAACUAUUAAAGCAAUUUUAUAGUCUUCUGAUCUCUUCAAAUCCCUGACUAAUGACGACACUGGUUACUAUUGUGCUUGCUCAUUUGUUUGCUAGUUCAAGGAUUGUGUGACCAUUAGUCUAAAACUUUUUCCACUAGGAAUAAUCCCCUGUUCCAGGGCAGUGGCAUUGAGUUGUUUCUCACUGACUGAAGAUGAAGUGGCAAAUUUCCUUCUCACCCUCUGAGGCCCCAGUGGGCCAGGCAUGUUAGGAGAGCCAUGCUGGUGCUUUUUUCUGCUGUAAUGCAUCAGGGAGAGCAGAACUGCUGUUAGUACACCAAAAGCUUCCUCUGCUGGAGCUCAUGUGUAAUGGCAUUCCGGUUUUCAUGCAUCAGCUCUGCUCCUUUUCAGGAACAACAUACAGAAGUUCAGCUAAGAAGCAAACACCUUAAAAUGCUUUCAGUAUUUCUGGAGAAAAUAGUUGCAUAGAUGUGCAAAAUCAGAA